UACGUAGGGUGCGAGCGUUGUCCGGAAUUAUUGGGCGUAAAGAGCUCGUAGGCGGUCUGUCGCGUCGAUCGUGAAAACUUGGGGCUUAACCCUGAGCUUGCGGUCGAUACGGGCAUGACUGGAGUUCGGCAGGGGAGACUGGAAUUCCUGGUGUAGCGGUGAAAUGCGCAGAUAUCUGGAGGAGCACCGGUGGCGAAGGCAGUUCUCUGGGACGGUACUGACGCUGAGGCACGAAAGCGUGGGGAUCAAACAGG
rnacentral:rRNA from 1 species